UCCCUUCAUUGGGUAGUAAGACUAAACUGACCUGGUUUCUUCUCUGUUUACUGCUCAAACACUUCCUUUCAGAUCUCUUAUUUGAUUGGUAUGUUUGCAUAAUCAUAAUAAUGUUCCACAGGAUUCUCUUGAUUUAAUCGCUUUAUUUACCUAUUUCAGCUUCAUUUUGCACCUACACUACUUCAUUUUUUGUUCAUUCUUUCUAAACACAGAAGCAUAUGGAGAUUUAUAAACGUGAAGCUGGAUUUGACUAAAUAAAAGAAAAACAUCACGAUUUACUUACCGAUUCUGCAGCAACGCUUUCAGGAGGAGAAUAUAUCGCCGCAUGAAGCAUCUCCAGCAGAUUCCUGGCUUGGUCCAUCCUGCUAGUCAAACAGAAAAUACCACAUAGGUAAACACAAAAAGAACAGCAUUAAGGAUGCAUGAUGCUCUGCGCUCUCUCACAGCUCGCAGGUACAUUGCAGGUACAGUAAGUUGUCUUCAUUGUUGUUGAUCCACCAGAGUUUGUCCCUAAAAUACAUAAGCAGGCACUAAAUUUGCUAAGUUUUUUGUUCA